AAGAGCUCAGUGAACUGCACGGCCUCGCGGGCGAUGAGGAGAGUGGCGAAGGAGGAAGAGCCUUUCCCUCUCCCUUCCUCUCUUUCUGCUGCUUCGGAUCUGCGAUGCCUUGACCUGAUUCGGGUUUCUGGGGUUUCUUUCAUGUGCUUGUGCAGGUGCGUGGCCGGCCAUGGCGCUGGUGACUUGAGGCCUGGGCUGUUCACGGCUGCAGAGAGGUGAGCUGUCCUGUGCUCGCUUUUUUUCCCCUUG
rnacentral:lncRNA from 1 species